CCUACGGGAGGCUGCAGUGGGGAAUAUUGCACAAUGGGCGCAAGCCUGAUGCAGCCAUGCCGCGUGUGUGAAGAAGGCCUUCGGGUUGUAAAGCACUUUCAGCGGGGAGGAAGGCGGUGAGGUUAAUAACCUCAUCGAUUGACGUUACCCGCAGAAGAAGCACCGGCUAACUCCGUGCCAGCAGCCGCGGUAAUACGGAGGGUGCAAGCGUUAAUCGGAAUUACUGGGCGUAAAGCGCACGCAGGCGGUCUGUCAAGUCGGAUGUGAACUCCCCGGGCUCAACCUGGGAACUGCAUUCGAAACUGGCAGGCUAGAGUCUUGUAGAGGGGGGUAGAAUUCCAGGUGUAGCGGUGAAAUGCGUAGAGAUCUGGAGGAAUACCGGUGGCGAAGGCGGCCCCCUGGACAAAGACUGACGCUCAGGUGCGAAAGCGUGGGGAGCAAACAGGAUUAGAUACCCCGGUAGUC
rnacentral:rRNA from 1 species